rnacentral:rRNA from 1 species
CGUGCCAGCAGCCGCGGUAAUACAUAGGUCACAAGCGUUAUCCGGAAUUAUUGGGCGUAAAGCGUUCGUAGGCGGUUUGUUAAGUCUGGAGUUAAAGACUGGGGCUCAACCCCAGCCCGCUCUGGAUACUGGCUGACUAGAGUUACAUAGAGGUAAGUGGAAUUCUUAGUGGAGCGGUGGAAUGCGUAGAUAUUAGGAAGAACACCAAUGGCGAAGGCAGCUUACUGGAUGUACACUGACGCUCAGGGACGAAAGCGUGGGGAGCAAACAGGAUUAGAUACCCUGGUAGUCCACGCCGUAAACGAUGAUCAUUAGCCGCUAGAAUAUUUAGUGGCGCAGCUAACGCAUUAAAUGAUCCGCCUGAGUAGUAUGCUCGCAAGAGUGAAACUUAAAGGAAUUGACGGGGACCCGCACAAGCGGUGGAGCAUGUGGUUUAAUUUGAAGAUACGCGUAGAACCUUACCCACUCUUGACAUCUUCCGCAAUACUAUGGAGACAUAGUGGAGGUUAACGGAAUGACAGAUGGUGCAUGGUUGUCGUCAGCUCGUGCCGUGAGGUGUUAGGUUAAGUCCUGCGACGAGCGCAACCCCUGUCUUUAGUUACUAACGGAUAAUGCCGAGGACUCUAGAGAGACUGACUGGGUAACCAGUAGGAAGGUGGGGACGACGUCAAAUCAUCAUGCCUCUUACGAGUGGGGCAACACACGUGCUACAAUGGACGGUACAAAGAGAAGCAAUAUGGUGACAUGGAGCAAACCUCAAAAAA